GUUUCUUCUCUCCUCGCUUUCCAUACCAGAACAGAGAUCCUCCUCACUUCUUUCAUGACAAGAUAUUUUUCCACUUAUGAUCCAUGGCCAGCUGCUUCUAGCAAUGAAGAACAUGAGGUACCAACAUUUCUUGGAAUGACACAGCUGUGAAUCACAAUCAUAUCAAAAGGAAGAAAGGAGACUUCAUAAACUUUGAAAACAAUCAGGCUAAUCAUCAAUGAACGGAUGAAGAAACUGAUGAAUUUGUACAUCUUUCCCAAAAGGAAGAUUUCCUCAUGACAGUUAUCACAGACCUGAUUAAGAAGAGUGAAUUUGCACCUUCUAAUUUUUUUGUGGAAUACUUUUCCCCUUGGUUCUAGGAACAACUUAUCUCAUUGUUACAUCAGGUAUUUUACAGCCAGUGAAAGUAUGGGGUAAGUAACAACCUGUUGGAUCUCAUCAAAGAAAUUUCCGCUCUAGUUUUUAAUUCUUUGUCCUGCACAAUCUCACACUCUUUGAGGUUUCAAAUUUCUUACAACAUGCAGGAAUUUUCCUUUCUCCACCAAGCUGUAAUGCCACAGGAGAACCAAGUUCACCAAUGUUUGUAGACAGCCACGACAGUUUCUGUGUCUCACAGGAAUGUUAAUACAGAACUGCAUCUGCAGUCAUGUAAGUCAGAAGAUAAUUAAUUGUUUAAUGACUUGUGGGUAAAACUGCUUUGCUUAACACUGAACUAGGGAAAAUACUCACUCUAAAGCUUCUGGUGAGCCUGUGCUCACCACUUGUCUCACACACUUCCCCUGAAAUUUGAUUCUUGACAAAUGCCCACACUACAGCUUCCCUCCACAGAACAAAGAUAAAGAAAGCCCAAGCAUUUAAUAUACAUGCUUUCACAAAAAACACCCACCUCUUCUCUCACCUUACCUAAGGCAAUUCUACAAGCCAGGAAAUGCCUGCAAAAAGCAUUUAAAAUUUGAGAAGUGAAAGACUAAUUUGAGAUAACCACUGUGGAGUAGUCAGGUUUUGGAUUAACAAGACCCUCUAUAACUUAUUUUUGUUUGCACUCUCACUGAUUUCAAGGCCAUGACU